rnacentral:rRNA from 1 species
CCUACGGGUGACAGCAGUGAGGCAUAUUGGUCAAUGGCCGAGAGGCUGAACCAGCCAAGUCGCGUGAGGGAAGAAUGUCCUAUGGAUUGUAAACCUCUUUUGUCAGUGCGCAAAGUCCCACACGUGUGGGUGUUUGAGAGUACCUGACGAACAAGCAUCGGCUAACUCCGUGCCAUCAGCCGCGGUAAUACGGGGGAUGCGAGCGUUAUCCGGAUUUUUGGGGUUUAAAGGGUGCGUAGGCGGGUUAUCAAGUCAGCGGUAAAAUCGUGGAGCUCAACUCCAUCCAGCCGUUGAAACUUAUGAGCUUGAGUGUGCGAGAAGUAGGCGGAAUGCGUGGUGUAGCGGUGAAAUGCAUAGAUAUCACGCAGAACUCCGAUUGCGAAGGCAGCUUACUAAGCCAUAACUGACACUGAAGCACGAAAGCGUGGGGAUCAAACAGGAUUAGAUACCCCAGUAGUU